rnacentral:rRNA from 1 species
CCUACGGGAGGCAGCAGUGAGGAAUAUUGGUCAAUGGGCGUAAGCCUGAACCAGCCAAGUCGCGUGAGGGAUGAAGGUUCUAUGGACCGUAAACCUCUUUUAUAAGGGAAUAAAGUGUGGGACGUGUACUGUUUUGUCUGUACCUUAUGCAUAAGGAUCGGCUAACUCCGUGCCAGCAGCAGCGGGAAUACGGAGGAUCCGAGCGGUAUCCGGAUUCUUUUGGUUUAAAGGGUGCGUAGGCGGCCUUUUAAGUCAGCGGGGAAAGUCUGUGGCUCAACCCUAGAAUUGCCGUGGAAACUGGGAGGCUUGAGUGUGUUUGAGGCAGGCGGAAUGCGUGGUGUAGCGGUGAAAUGCUUAGAUAUCACGCAGAACCCCGAUGGCGAAGGCAGCCUGCCAGGCCAUGACUGACGCUGAGGCACGAAAGCGUGGGGAUCAAACAGGAUUAGAUACCCUGGUAGUC